CUUGACCCCCAUAAGAGGUCCAGCCUGCCCAGUGACAAAUGUUUAACGGCCACGGUAUCCUAACCGUGCGAAGGUAGCGUAAUCACUUGUUCUUUAAAUGAGGACUAGUAUGAAUGGCAAUACGAGGGCUGCACUGUCUCCUUUUUUUGAUCUGUAAAACUAAUCUCCCCGUGAAGAAGCGGGGAUAUAUAUAUAAGACGAGAAGACCCUAUGGAGCUUUAAAUAAAAUAACAAUUGCUUUCCCCACACUAUUUUCAGAAUUUCUUUAUAAAACUCAGCACUUUGAUUACUAAUUUUAAGUUGGGGUGAUUACGGAGUAAAAACCAACCUCCGUGCUGAAAGGAUAUGUCCUGAGCAAAAAGUUACAACUUCAAGCACUAAAAAAUUAACACACAUUGACCCAAUUUUUUGAUCAACGAAC
rnacentral:rRNA from 1 species